GAACCGGGCCGGGGAUUGGCCCCUGCCUGCUCCUGCGGUCAUAUGGCCCCGGCGAGUCGUGUGGACCUCAGUCUCUUAACAGGUUCUUCCACCCUCUCAGGGACUUUUAAGGCCUGAAGUGGGUCUGUCCUCUCAGGCCUCGAGUUUCCUGCUCUGCAGGCUCUUCUAGCAGAAUUUAUCCAUGCAAACUUUUCGUAGCCGCUGAAAAGGAGAUGAAGUUACAGUAAAAGGAAGUUAUUGUCCAAGGACAUGCCAGCUCUGAGAGAAGCUGGGGAAAGAUAAACUGAACUCUACAGACCAACAGAAAAGCAGGAUCUGGAAGUAAGCAGUGGCCAGAGAAAAUUUGGACAUGUGAAAAAGACACCAGGAGUUUAUGUGCCUGGAGGAAAGACCAUGUGAGGACAUAGCACAAAGGCAGCUGUCUGCAAGCAAAGGAGAGAGGCCUCGGAAGAAAUCAAAUCUGCGGAUACCCAGACCUUGGACUUCCAACUUCCAAAACUAACCAGGGGCUGACACACAGUGGAUGCCUAGCAGAGAGUUGUUGAAUGAUUGCUGAAUGAAUCCCAUGAAGCUUACCACACCCCUCAGACCCCACCCUCUCGGUGUUGGCCCAGCUGCAAGUCCACAUUCAGGCAGAUAGCCAGGCCUGCUCCUCUGGCUGCUCGGCCUCUUGGAAGCUCUGUUUCUCCCUUUAUGUUGCUGGAUGAAGUCUCUGCUUUCCCUCCCCACAACUUCGAGACCUCUGGAACUAUGAAUGGAAACCAAAUCAGCCUCAUAAUUUGUAUUCAUCUGUGGGGACCCAGGUGAUUCAGAGAGGGCCUGAACUGUGCAUGUGGCACGUGGCCACUCCACCCAGCUGCCUUUACCUAAAAUAUUAACUGUUAUUGAUGGAGUCCCUCCUAGGAUGCUGGACCUAAGGCCUUAUUACAUUAUUUCAUUCAGUCCUUUAAACAAAUUUUAGGGAGUAAAUGUGUAUAUCCUUUGGGGACAGGUGAAGAAAUUGAAGCCCAGAAAGAUGAAUUCAAUUGGCCAAAAUCACUGUCAGUGGCACAAUUGGGUGUUGAAUCCAGAUGUUUGAUUCCAAAGGUAGUUCUCUUAUCCACCAAUCAGAAGUUGGAUACAUCAUCAGUGGGUUUGCCCUGGAAAGGACUCCUGUAUCCAGAAGACAGGGAUGGAGACGGGGAGAGACAUCCCACCCUGACAUGGGCUCAUGUUACUCUCUGGGAUCAGACUGGAGAAAGCACCUGGCUCAGCCUGUGGCAGCUUUAGCUGCUCACCUCUCCCACUCCCCCGGGGACCCCCUGGGGGCAGAACAACUGAACUGAGUGAGCUGUGGAUGACCAAUAAACGAGUGAAACUCCACAAGGAGAAAAUUCUUGCAGAGCUAAUAUAUGCUGCAAAAGAAACGUGUUAGUUGCUCAAUUGUGUCCUACUCUUUGUGACUCCAUAGACUGUAGCCAGCCAUGCUCCUCUGUCCAUGGAGUUCUCCAGGAAAGAAUACUGGAGUGGAUUUCCGUUUCCUUCUUCAGGGCUUUUUCUUGACCCAGGGGUUGAAUCUGGAUCUCCCUCAUUGCAGGCAGAUUCUUUGCUAUCUGAGCCACCAGGGAAGCCCAUAUACUGCCAAAGUUAAUUACAAAUAUUUUCUUCUAUGGUGCUCCUGAUAACCCUGUGAGAGAGACAUUGUUAUCCCCAUAUAGA
ensembl:lncRNA